GUUUGAUCCUGGCUCAGGAUGAACGCUAGCGGCAGGCUUAAUACAUGCAAGUCAAGGGGGUAGCAAUACAACCGGCGCACGGGUGAGUAACGCGUACACAACAUACCAUAUACUGGAGUAUAGCUUUGGGAAACUGAGGGUAAUCCUCCAUAACAUUGCGAGAGGGCAUCUGAUUGCAAUUAAAGUUCCGGCGGUAUAUGAUUGGUGUGCGUUUGAUUAGCUAGUUGGUAGGGUAACGGCCUACCAAGGCGACGAUCAAUAGCUGGCGUGAGAGCGCGACCAGCCACACUGGAACUGAGACACGGUCCAGACUCCUACGGGAGGCAGCAGUAGGGAAUAUUGGACAAUGGGCGAAAGCCUGAUCCAGCCAUGCCGCGUGAUAGAUGAAGGCCCUCUGGGUUGUAAAUAUCUUUUAUCUGGGAAGAAACUCCUCUAUUCUUAGAGGCCUGACGGUACCAGAGGAAUAAGCACCGGCUAACUCCGUG
rnacentral:rRNA from 1 species